CACGUUCUCUCAGUAGUAUCAAAUAGCUACUACUCUCUUUUCCUCCUCCCGCAGAUAUUUCUGACUUUUUUCUGCUUUCCCUCCUCGAUCAUCACUCCUUGUCGACGGAAGGGGAAGAGGAAGAAGAAGUCGGAGGCGAAGCUGAACCGUCAGAUCAUCGACGGCUGCUGGGGCCAUUCUCGGAGCUGGAGUUAUUUGCAUUGUGGAAGUGACACAAACAUCACAACUGCAAGGAAUGGAAAUGAGCCGAAGAAAAUAAGACGGAAAAUAAUUCUAUUGAUCCUUUGGAUCUUUGCUUCCAAAAGAUGACUAGGAACAUCAAUUUCAAGAAGAAGAUGAAGAAAAAGAAGAAGAUGAUGAUGAUGAUGACUGGAUGCCAAGUCAGAUCUGGUGGAGAAGAGAACCAAGUAUUACUGAUCUGUUGAAAUGGGAAGAUAUUGGUAUGCGGACAUCACUUUUUAUCUAAAUCAACAAAAACAAAUCAUAUUCACAGAUCUGUGCAUCUUUGUGUCUAUAUUUCAAUUUGAAUCGUCAUAUUUAGUUGAUAACAGUAGGGUCCAGUGAAGAUGUUGAAGUGAUACUGUUUUCCUUCUGGGAUUAAACUGUAGCAUGUGAAUGCAGUGUUUCUAAAGUUUUUAAUGCAUAGUGUUAAUUUGCACUCCGCUUGAAGUUUUGAUGCUUGGACCAUUAGAUUUCGUGGAUUGGUAGGCCCAUGGCCUACUAUUCUAACAUGUGCUGAUUUUGGGCUGUUUGUUACAAAAUUUGAGGCUAAAUGUCUGUGAUCAUAUUUGCCAUUUGUAGAAGAUAUGGGGCUGAUGUGGAAGAUAUGAUUGAAGAUUUUGGGGUAUUUAAUAGAUUUUCUUUUGUUAUUUUAAGCCAAAUCUUUGUUGGUGUGAUUUUUAUUUUUGUAAAUAAAUUAUAGAUUGAUUUAAAAUCAUUAUAAUAGUUUGGGUAUUUUCAUUGAAGAUUCAUAGGGAUGAUCUUUAGGGUCUAUAAAGGGGGAGGUGCUAUAGGCAUUCCACAUUUUUUACAUUUAUGAGUUUUUAUGUAAGUCUUUGUAAGGAGAAUUUUAAUUUUCAUUGAAGUUGCUCAUUCCUCUCUACUCAAACAUUCUUGGCGGCAUACUCUUGUCCAUUCUUGCGAUCCAAGUAUUGAAAUCUCAUUGACUCAAUGAUUGUGUUGCACUAUUUUGGAAUCAAAGUAGGUGAUUGUUGGGGGGUUCUGACUCCACAUCAUUACCUAAUGGUUUCGAAGGGGUGACACAGGAAGAAUUUGUGUGUUGAGCCAAAAGUUACUAUCUCACUGGAAAGCUUUGAUCAAUUGCAGAUGCAUCAGGCAAUGUGAUACCUGGAGUCAGUGGUGUUCAUAAUCGACAGCAGAGGGAGGGAGAGGGUUAAGGAUUUCUUCAAACAUGUUCAAGUCGCCACUGUUUGUCUUACUACUUUUCACCGUGCCAUUUGAUUCAUCAGCUGAUUAAGGAUCUCUUCAAACAAGUUCAAGUCGCCACAGUUUGUCUUACUACUUUUCACCAUGCCAUUUGAUUCAUCAGCUGGUUGAGGAUCUCUUCAAGUUCAAGUGGCCACUGUUCUUUCUUACUACCUUUUCACCAUGCCAUUUGAUUCAUCAGCUUGUUUAGAAAGGUUUUUGGGGUUCAUCUGUUAUGGAUCUGUUCAAAUAAGCUUUGUUUUGUCUUACUUAAUGGCUUGUUACUGCUUUUCACCAUGCCAUUUGGUUCAUGAUGUAGAGCAGGUUGCGGACAAUUUCAUGGCCAAGAUGGACCAAAGAAGGCCCGAUCGGAGGCGGAAGUGAUCCAGAUCAUCAGAACCUUAAAACAGGCAUAUCUCGCAAACCGGAAUGAGUGAUCUGACGUACCAUGUGUGAUUUUAGGGUAGGAGAAACUACCGUAGCCACCCAACCCAGUAUUGCAGGUUGCCCACGCUGAAUUUGCAAGAUUCUAUCAGAUCGACGGUCGAAAAUCCAUUUUAUUUCCGUUUUCACUAUUUAUAGUAAGUUUUAGUUUGAUCAUAACUUUUGAUCCAUUGAGUUUUAAGAGUCGUGCCCAACAUGAAAAGGGCUUAGAAAAAUUAGGGGAAUAACGUGGUUAGGCUAAAUUGGACACUUACUAUUUUUGGUCGAAAACCAUGGAGUCUAGUAGAAAUCAGGGCUGUCUAUAAAUAAUAAGCUUACUAUUUAUAUUAAGUCACGAUUUUAGGGAGUUUGAGUUGGAGUUUGAUUCUGAAACUUCUUCCUAGGUUUGAUAUCACUAUUUAAAGGAUUGUAAACUCGUUUUUAUCAUCAAUCAAGUUAUUUUCGAUUUUUAGAAUUUAUUUCUUUUCCCUCGUGGAUUCGAGGAACCUC